rnacentral:lncRNA from 1 species
GAACAAAGGCAAGUCAAGCUUUCCUCCAGAUUAUGAUCUUCAAAGUCAGAAAAAGAGCUACAUCCGUGUUCAACUGUUCCAUACGGUAUUUCCUCUAAUUGAGAUCAGCUGAAAUAAUCUCAAUGAAGUUGUACAAUAUGGAAGAUUCCCUGCCAUGGAGGAUUUAUAUGCCUCGACUGUAAGUGGUGAGUGAAGUGUUUGCCAGCACUCAAUUAGUAGUUCCUAUGUCAUUACUGGAUUUUCAGGUGGUUUUUCUUAAACUGCU